rnacentral:rRNA from 1 species
GACGAACGCUGGCGGCGUGCUUAACACAUGCAAGUCGAACGGAAAGGCCCUGCUUGCAGGGUACUCGAGUGGCGAACGGGUGAGUAACACGUGGGUGAUCUGCCCUGCACUUCGGGAUAAGCCUGGGAAACUGGGUCUAAUACCUGAUAGGAGCCAUUUUUAGUGUGAUGGUUGGAAAGUUUUUUCGGUGUAGGAUGAGCUCGCGGCCUAUCAGCUUGUUGGUGGGGUAAUGGCCUACCAAGGCGGCGACGGGUAGCCGGCCUGAGAGGGUGGACGGCGACAUUGGGACUGAGGUAAGGCCGAGACUCCUAAGGGAGGCAGAAGGGGGGAAUAUUGAACAAUGGGCGCAAGCCUGAUGCAGCGAGGCCGCGUGGGGGAUGACGGCCUUCGGGUUGUAAAAUCCUUUCGGUAGGGAAGAAGCUUUUUGUGACGGUACCUAGAUAAGAAGCACCGGCUAACUACGUG